GGUGACUGGUACACGAACCAGAAAUGAGUACCGACUGAUCGACCCACUUUUUGUCCUCGGUUUCAUCCUCGAGAGCCGUUUCGGGUACAGGGUCAUGAAUCAUCCGCUUUUCCGUGACCACCUCAGAGAUCUCUUCGAUAAGAAGAAAUGCGUACAAUAAUACCGAACUUAUUAAUAAAUAAAAUGAAAGCGAGUUUCGGUCGUUGUAUGCGAUCAAAGAUUAUUCCAACUAUCGUGGACAUUUAGUAUUUAAUAUUUCAGUACAAAGAAACACAGAUUUCAACGUUGACAAUGGCUAAGUAGCCGAGGUCGAUGUAGCACUAUUUAUGUACAGCUAUUCACAAUACUUGUUUUUGCAUUCAAUAAGCAAUCCAAGUGGUGACCUCCUCUUGCAAUCUGUAAAAGAGCACGUCGCGAUUCACUAUGCCAAGAUCCACCCUAUGGACUGUUGCUGAGGGUUUAAACGAAGGGUAAACCCACCUAUUCAAAGUAAUUCAUUUCUUGGCAACAAUGGCACACUGGUAAAUGGUAAACGCAAUAGAUUUACCUUGACACGACGCAGCAGACGGUCUGGCUGUUCUCCAGUCGUCGAGGAAACGACCUGGCGUCAGAAGUUGAAGUCACUACUGCUCCAUGCGCGUGCAACUCUCGUUUACCUUCGACCUCGGCACUCUCGGUUACCUUGUUCGCGAGGAAUUAAACAAAAAAGACUGGAACCGCUGGCACAACGGGUCCGCGGGAACUUGUCGGUGCGGUAGAAGGUCACACGUCGACUGAGGAGCACCGACGACCGGGUGGCAGAAGGUAGACGACGUGGUGGUGGCGAGAAGUGGUAGGGCCGUGGACGAAAUGGUACAAGAGCAAGAGGAAAUUCCGACGAAAGAAAAAGACGCUUCAGGAAGAUUCUCCCGUAGUCGACGUCACUCUGCACGGAAUGAAAGAAUGGUCAUCGCUUCGUCUUCAAAGAUGUCUUUAUCGUGUGCUUCAUCGAAUACAACGCUAUUUCAGGUUGUCCCUAUGCGUUAGUCGGAAUCAGAUUCUAAUAUCUUCAGUUAAAGUCGAAGGAACAGGGACAAACUUUC